CGAGAUUGGAAGUUCCCACUGUGUGGAGGCCAUCUUCUUGAACGUCGGGAACAAGAACCUUGUUUGGCCUAGAGUAGAAAAAGAAACCAGGAUAAAGUUCCGACUGCCCUAAUUUCCGAAGAAUCCUUGGAAAUAGUGUCAGCGUAAGAAAGACGUAUGCCAGCUUGACAUUACAUUUCAAUGAUAGUAUCUCUAAUCAUCGAAGGGACCUGCUCUGAACAGGGAGGUAACUUGGGGAACCUGGCUUCUGUAAUGCUUGCCCUAAGGGUCAAGUCUGGAAAAUCAAACUUCCUCUCCAGAACAUAAAACAACACAUGUACCUCAGGACCAAACUCUCUGAUUCCAAUUACCCCUGCCAAGCUUGACGGCUAUGUAAUUGUCGAUCCCUCU